rnacentral:rRNA from 1 species
UACGUAGGGGGCAAGCGUUGUCCGGAAUCAUUGGGCGUAAAGAGCGCGUAGGCGGCCCUGUAAGUCCGCUGUGAAAGUCAAGGGCUCAACCCUUGAAUGCCGGUGGAUACUGCAGGGCUAGAGUCCGGAAGAGGCGAGUGGAAUUCCCGGUGUAGCGGUGAAAUGCGCAGAUAUCAGGAGGAACACCGAUGGCGAAGGCAGCUCGCUGGGACGGUACUGACGCUGAGGUGCGAAAGCGUGGGGAGCAAACAGG